GAAGCAAAAUACAAUAAGUGGGAGAAGGAACCCGCACCACAUGGCUGGGAUGGUCAUCUCAUCUCGUGACUUUAUUCGUUUCAUUGGUGUCUAAGGUAGUGGAACCAGAGCAGUAUGCCUCUGAUAUGGCUUAGAGGGAGCAUUGGCCGCCAGAUCAUGCCAGGCGGCAUGCUUUUCUGAUGGGAGUAUGUGCUGAACAAUACUAAUUAGUUGUGUUAGGGCAUACAUCCAUUGGUCAGGAUUCUUGUCUGUCAUGGUUGAGCACACGAUCCAGAUAAGCACCAAGUUGAUCGAUAGCUCACACGUGAUGACGAGAAGGUGAAAAGGAAGGUUAGGAAAUCCAAACCCAAGAAACUCAUUGUACAGCAACAAGCCUCAGAAAAAUGGUAGUGAGCUAUCCGUGGUCUUGU